UUACCCCAUAUACACCUCAGCUCAGGCUCUUUGCCUGGUCUGUAUUGUGAAUGGGGAGACAUUGAGAAAAAAAAGGAAAAAAGAAAAAAUAUAUAUUUUAUUGAUUUUUUUUUUUUUACAGAG
rnacentral:snoRNA from 1 species